rnacentral:misc_RNA from 1 species
AAUUGAGCAUUGAAUCAAUUUUUUAAUUGAACAAUGUAUCUAAUCUUCAGAAACAUUUGGUAUGAUUUGAAUAUCAUUAAUACAUGCAGUUCCAGAAUGCUGUUGAACCAUUGGAAGACUAAUCUUCAAGUCACAUUAUACAUUAGGUGGCAAUUUGAUAAGGUGGUCUAUUCUUUAUUUUGGUAAAAAUUGAUAAGAUAGUUAUUCCUAGCAUAAGAGUUGUCAAAUCCAUAUCUCUUAGGAAAUACUUUUUAUUUAUGAGAAUAUUUGUAAUGGAUCCUGUUCUAGGUUCUUAUCCUUCAAAGAAGGUAAAGAAAGUAAUAUUUUUAAAUUAUUGUUCAUAUAUUCAUCAUAAAAAAGGUCCAAAAUUUCUGAUUCUUGUUUCUCUUUUGUAAUCCAUUCAUCUAAAAGAAUAGUUAAUGAGGAUAGUAAUAGUAUGACACAGCUACCGUUGGUAUAGUAAUAGUAUGAC